UAGCCUCCCUCUCUCCGCUUUGCCCCCUUCUCUCGAUCGAAGCCCUAAAAAGCAAACCCCACCUCUAUCGAUCUCUCGAAACCCUAGACGCGUCUCCGAUCAGCAUGGGCCAAGGAACCCCCGGCGGCCUCAACAAGCACAACCUCCCCGGCGACCGCAAGAACGACGGCGGCGACAAAAAGGAGAAGAAGUUCGAGCCCUCGGCCCCUCCUUCCCGCGUGGGCCGCAAGGCCAGGCUCCCCGUCGUCACCCCGGUGACCAAGUGCAAGCUCAGGCUCCUCAAGCUCGAGCGGAUCAAGGACUAUCUCCUGAUGGAGGAGGAGUUCGUCGCGAACCAAGAGAGGCUGAAGCCCCACGAAGAGAAGUCCGAGGAGGAUCGAUCGAAGGUUGACGACCUGAGGGGGUCGCCGAUGAGCGUUGGGAAUCUGGAGGAGUUGAUCGACGAGAAUCACGCGAUUGUUUCGUCGUCGGUGGGGCCGGAGUACUAUGUGAGCAUAUUGUCGUUUGUGGAUAAGGAUCAGCUGGAGCCUGGAUGUGCCAUCUUGAUGCAUAACAAGGUCCUGUCGGUUGUAGGGCUUCUUCAAGAUGAUGUUGAUCCUAUGGUUUCUGUUAUGAAAGUUGAAAAAGCUCCUUUGGAAUCUUAUGCUGAUAUUGGUGGUCUGGAUGCCCAAAUUCAAGAAAUUAAAGAAGCAGUGGAACUCCCUUUGACUCAUCCCGAGCUAUACGAGGACAUUGGUAUAAAGCCUCCUAAAGGAGUCAUACUAUAUGGAGAGCCUGGAACUGGAAAAACUUUGCUUGCAAAGGCUGUGGCUAACUCUACGUCAGCAACUUUCUUACGUGUUGUGGGAAGUGAACUGAUACAGAAGUACUUGGGUGACGGUCCAAAACUUGUGAGGGAACUAUUUAGGGUCGCAGAUGAUCUUUCACCAUCAAUAGUCUUCAUUGAUGAAAUAGAUGCAGUUGGUACUAAAAGGUAUGAUGCUCAUUCAGGAGGAGAGCGUGAAAUACAGAGAACCAUGUUGGAAUUGCUGAACCAAUUAGAUGGCUUCGAUUCAAGAGGGGAUGUUAAGGUUAUUCUCGCAACAAACAAAAUCGAAAGUCUUGAUCCAGCCUUGCUUCGUCCUGGACGAAUUGACAGGAAAAUAGAAUUUCCCCUUCCAGAUAUUAAAACAAGACGACGCAUUUUCCAGAUACAUACAUCCAGAAUGACAUUGGCUGAUGAUGUCAACUUGGAAGAAUUCGUUAUGACAAAAGAUGAGUUUUCUGGAGCUGAUAUCAAGGCGAUCUGUACAGAAGCUGGCUUGCUUGCUCUGAGAGAGCGCAGAAUGAAGGUAACCCAUACUGAUUUCAAGAAGGCUAAGGAGAAGGUGAUGUUCAAGAAGAAGGAAGGAGUGCCCGAGGGAUUAUAUAUGUGAUAGCUGGUUAUAUAAAGGUUUUCGAGUAGCAGUUGGAUUUCUUCAAAUGAACUCGACCAGAUUCUAUCGCAAGCUGAAUAUAUAUCUGGCAACUAUUAGUCCUCUUCUAGUUUCUUUCUUCUUUUCCUUUCCUAGGUGUAUCUCCUACCAAGACGACUUGUAUCAUCAAUGAGCUGAAUUGCUCAUAUUUCAGGUGCAAUUAUCAAGACUUUAAGGGGCACGCAUAUUUCCAUAGAUGUCUUCCAAUGCGUGCCGGUGUUGGAUUAACUUGGCAUGUAAGCGUUGUCUCGUAAUGAACUUGGCAUGUAAGAAUUGUCAUUAUGUGGCGAUAAUGGGUCUUUUUCUUUAAUACUGGGGGCUCUUUCAUUCUCGUAUUGUACAAGAAUGAAUGCCAAGAAUAUCGGUAUGAAUAUCUAUGGUUAUUUUGCUUUUAUUGAACC